GAUAUAUCACGUGACUGGGAUGUUCGCUGGAAAACAGGAUUAAGGAACUAAGACAUUAGUAUAAAAUGGGGUUUGACUUACACUAAAAUCUCAAACCCAACAGGGUAAUCUUGGGUAAAUGUGUGUAAAGACUACUUUUCGUACCAAAGAAUAACAGAUAUGGACACAGAUCUCGUCAAAGUAGAUGCGAUAAUUUAACAGAUUAGUUUUUCCUACGAGGAAUGGAGAUCGAUGAAAUUGAUAGUAGCCAGCCUGGACAUGUACAGAGAGUUGUUAGCAAAUUUGAAGAGCUUUUACUCCAGCGAAUUGAAGUGAAGGAAGAAGUUUGUGAUGAGGAGACAAGUGAUAUCGAUGUUCCAAGCACGCAAAAGGUAGCAUUAUAU